ensembl:misc_RNA Y_RNA Y RNA
GGCUGGUCUGAGUGCCUUGGUGUUUACGACUAAUUGAUCCCAAUCAGUUACAGAUUUCUUUGUUCCUUCACUUGACUGGUCUUAA